rnacentral:rRNA from 1 species
AUUGAACGCUGGCGGCAGGCUUAACACAUGCAAGUCGAGCGGGGGGAGGUAGCUUGCUACCGGACCUAGCGGCGGACGGGUGAGUAAUGCUUAGGAAUCUGCCUAUUAGUGGGGGACAACAUCUCGAAAGGGAUGCUAAUACCGCAUACGUCCUACGGGAGAAAGCAGGGGAUCUUCGGACCUUGCGCUAAUAGAUGAGCCUAAGUCGGAUUAGCUAGUUGGUGGGGUAAAGGCCUACCAAGGCGACGAUCUGUAGCGGGUCUGAGAGGAUGAUCCGCCACACAUGGACUGAGACACGGCCCAGACGCCUACGGGAGGCAGCAGUGGGGAAUAUUGGACAAUGGGGGGAACCCUGAUCCAGCCAUGCCGCGUGUGUGAAGAAGGCCUUAUGGUUGUAAAGCACUUUAAGCGAGGAGGAGGCUACUUUAGUUAAUACCUUCGAGUUUGACAUUACCUUUAGAAGAAGCACCGGCUAACUCCGUGCCAGCAGCCGCGGUAA